AACCUGGUUGGGUGGUCUGCCUUCACGGUACGUACUGCUUGGCCGGGUUCUACCUCUUGGUGAGCCGGCAUGCCCUUUACUGGGUGUGUCGGGGAACCAGGACUUUUACCUUGAGAAAAUUAGAGUGCUCCAAGCAGGCCUGUGCUUGAAUAUGUUAGCAUGGAAUAAUAAAAUAGGACU
rnacentral:rRNA from 1 species